ensembl:ncRNA Y37B11A.5 ncRNA
CAAAAAAGAACUUAAGAGAGUGGGAUUCGAACCCACGCCCCCGAAUGGAACGGUGCCUUAAACCAGCGCCUUGGACCGCUCGGCCAUCUCUCCACCG